CGGACGCUGUCUCAACCAUGAGCUCAGUGAAAUUGUAGUAUCGGUGAAGAUGCCGAUUACCCGCGAUGGGACGAAAAGACCCCGUGAACCUUUACUACAGCUUAGCAUUGACCUUGGUCAUCCGAUGUGUAGGAUAGGCCGGAGGCUUUGAAGCGGGAGCGCCAGCUUUCGUGGAGCCAUCCUUGAAAUACGGCCCUUUGGCUGUCUGAGGUCUAACGCGCAGAUGCGCGGACACUGCUUGGUGGGUAGUUUGACUGGGGUGGUCGCCUCCAAAAGCGUAACGGAGGCUUCCAAAGGUGCCCUCGGGUCGAUUGGUAACCGACCUCAAAGAGUGCAAUGGCAUAAGGGCGCUUGACUGGGAGGCAGACAUGCCGAGCAGGCAGGAAACUGGGGCAUAGUGAUCCGGCGGAUGUGUAUGGAAACUCCGUCGCUCAAAGGAUAAAAGGUACUCCGGGGAUAACAGGCUGAUACCGCCCAAGAGCUCAUAUCGACGGGGUGGUUUGGCACCUCGAUGUCGGCUCGUCACAUCCUGGGGCUGGAGAAGGUCCCAAGGGUUGGGCUGU
rnacentral:rRNA from 1 species